rnacentral:rRNA from 1 species
GCAAGUCGAACGAGAAUCCGGGGCAACCCGGUAGUAAAGUGGCAAACGGGUGAGGAAUACAUGGGUAACCUGCCCUUGAGAAGGGAAUAACCCGCCGAAAGGUGAGCUAAUACCCUAUACGCUUCUCUUUUCAUGGAAAGUGAAGGAAAGCUAAGCCGUGGGCUUGGCACUCAAGGAGGGGCUCAUGUCCUAUCAGCUUGUUGGUGGGGUAAUGGCCUACCAAGGCUACGACGGGUAGCUGGUCUGAGAGGAUGAUC